AUCCCAGUCACAAAACUUGGAGGGCACACUCGAGAUUGAAACAUGCCUUUGAAAAGUUCAUUGAAUCUCAAAAGAAUCUAGGAGUUUCUAAGAACCAAAUUAAAUAUUUUUAAUAUUUCGGCUUUGGUGGAAAUUGGUGAAUCGUCAUUCACCUACCUUUCAAAUAUGUUAUUACUUAGAUUACGGCAUACCUCUUCUAAGUAUAAUAUAUUGUGAUUGGGUCCGAGCCUUAAUACUACAUUUGGGUGUUUUAUUAAGGACAAUCUCUUAUCUAAACUAAACUUUUCCUCUGUUCAGAUGUCUGCAAACACUACUGCUUCUGGCUAUAAUCCUAAUGGCUCCUUUUCUCUAAUGAACUUGUGUGGGAAAGUCACUUUUGAUGGAUCCAACUUUAAUGAAUGGAUCAGAAACAUCCGAAUGAUUACCCGCUACGAGGACAAGGAAUAUUUCCUCGAUAAGGAGCUUAAGGAUAUUGAUGAGACAGUUGCUACUCCUCAAGAGAUCGCUGACAUUAGGGGACAUGAAAGGGAUGCCACCAAGGUGGCAUGCAUCAUGAUGGCCACUAUGAAAGCCGACCUCUAAAAGUCUUACGAGGACUUCUACCCUUUUCAAAUGCCCUCAGAUUUGAUGGAAAGAUACUAUCAAAGUGCAAGACAAGAGAGGUAUGAAAUCAUCUCCUCCAUGACAACAACCCGAAUGAAGAAUGGUGAACCCAUCACGGGCCACAUGCAGAAAAUGAAAAGAUUUGUGGACCGCUUGCUGAAGCUUAAUGUGAACUUCCCCGAGGAGCUAGCGAUAGAUAUCAUUUUGCACUCCUUACCUUCAUGUUAUGAUCAAUUCUGCAUGACAUACCACAUGAACAAGGAAGAGGUCACUCUCAGCAAACUUCAAGGACUCUUAAAGACAGCGGAAAGUGGUCUUAAGGGUAAGGCGGUUGUUACUACUCCUACUCCUUCCAACUCCGCCCCUGUCUUGGCAAUCGGGAAAGAACGAGGGAAGAAGAAAAAGAGUUCUUCGAAGGGUACCAAGGCUAGGAACCUAGAUGGUUCUUCUUCAAGUGGAACCAAGAAAGGUUUCAUCACUCCUUCGGACCCAAAAGAGGCUGAAUGCUUCUAUUGCCAUGAAAAGGCACAUUGGAAGUGGAACUGCCCAAUGUGCCAACAAGAUGUGAAGGAUGGAAAAGUCAAACCCAACCAUGUAGGUAUUUACACUAUCUUAUCUAAUAAAUCACCCCAUUCUAACUCAUGGGUUCUUGAUAACGGUUGUGGUGUUCAUAUCUGUUCUGAUCUGCAGAGACUAAGAUGAAGUGAGAAUGUGGAGCAAGGAAGAACAAACUUGAUCAUGGGAAACAGGAAAGCUUCACCUGUCACCAAGAUUGGAGUUUAUACUUUGUCGCUAAGUAGUGGGUUUAGUUUAAAUUUGAAUAAAUGUUGUUAUUUUCUAGAAAUGGAAAGAAAUAUUAUUUCCUUUCAUGCAUUUUAUAAACAAGGUUUUAUCUUUUCAUUUGAUAAUGAAGUUGGUUCGAUUAAUGUAUUAUUUAAUAAUAUUCUUUAUUUUAAAGCAUUACCUUGUGAUGGUGUGUAUGAAACUGUAUCUGUGGUUGAUAACUUAGGAAAUAAUGUUUUGUGUAUUGAUUCUCUUAAUAAUAAUAACUUGGAUAAAGCAUCAUUAUGGCAUUGUCGUCUUAGACAUAUAAGAAAGAAAUGCAUAGGCCAACUCCAAAAGGAUGGAGUCUUGGAGUCAUUUGACCUAAAGUCAGAUGAUAGUUGCGAAUCAUGCUUACUUGGAAAAAUGACAAAGUCAGCCUUCACAGGUUCUUGUGAGAGGGGUGAAGGUUUAUUGGAUCUUGUAUACACGGAUGUGUGUGGACCAUUCAAACGUGCCACAAGGGAUGCUAAUCGUUAUUAUUUGACUUUUACUGUUGAUUACAGUAGAUAUGGAUAUGUCUACUUAAUCAAGCAUAAGUCAGAGACUUUCGAAAGGGUUUAAGGAAUUUAAACAGGAAGUCGAGAAUCAAUUGGGCAGGAACAUUAAGAUGCUCCGAUCCGAUCGAGGUGGUGAGUAUCUUAGUUAAGAGUUCCUUGACUAUCUUAGGGAAUGUGGGAUUGUCUCACAAUUGACACCUCCAGGACACCACAGUUGAAUGGUGUGGCUGAGAGGUGUAAUCGAACCUUGUUGGAUAUGGUUCGUUCCAUGAUGAUUCGAGCUUCGCUACCAAUCUCAUUCUGGGGUAUGCCUUAAAGACUGCCUCCAAUAUUCUUAAUCUAGUCCAUACAAAGAAAUUUUCCAAAACUCCUCACGAGAUGUGGACAGGUAAAGUACCCAAACUAGACCACAUCAAGAUUUGGGGUUGCGAGGCUUUUGUGAGGCGCGACUCUCAUGAAAAGCUAGAACCCCGAAGCAAGAGGUGUAUUUUCAUUGGCUACCCACAAAGAUCCUUUGGUUACCUCUUCUACAAACCUAGUGAUAAUGUGGUCUUUGUAGCAAGAAGAUGAGUCUUUUGAUAGAGAGAGUUUAUAAGCCAAGGAUUUAGUGGGAGGCAAAUUGACCUUGAAGAACUUCAAGAGUCAAGUGGUGAAGGAACUUCAAACCCUAGUCCUUAACUUGAGGAGGAAACUCCUGUUGAGCCAAUUGACGAGUCUGGAUGAGAUACUUAUUAGUGAUGAGACACUAGUAGGUCUGGAUGAACCUAACAGCUACGCGGAAGCCAUGGCAGGCCCUGAGUCUGCAAAAUUGAAAGAGGCUAUGGUUAGCGAGAUACAAUCCAUGUAUGACAAUCAAGUUUGGAACUUGGUUGAGAAUGUACCAGGUCGUAAGACUGUAGGGUGCAAAUGGAUCUUCAAGAAGAAGACCAACAUGGACGGUAAUGUACACACUUAUAACGCUCGACUGAUUGCAAAGGGCUUCUCUCAAACUCCUGGAGUGGAUUAUGAUGUGACUUUUUCUCCAGUAGCCAAGAUUAAGUCUAUUAGGGUUAUGUUAGCCAUAGUUGCAUUUCAUGACUAUGAAAUAUGGCAAAUGGAUGUCAAAACCACUUUCCUUAAUGGAAAGUUGACUGAAGAUGUUUACAUGAGUCAGCCAGAAGGUUUUGUCAGUAACGAGUACCCUAAUGGAGUGUGCAAGCUUGUGGAAUCCAUUUGUUGAUUAAAGCAAGCACCUUGCAGAUGGAAUCUUUGCUUUGAUGAGAAAGUCAAGGAAUUUGGCUUUUCUAGGAGUGAAGAUGAAUCUUGUGUGUAUGUCAAGGCUAGUGGGAGUAUAGUUAGGUUAUUGGUAUUGUAUGUGGAUUACAUACUACUCAUAGGAAAUGACAUCCUAAUUCUGUAGGAAGUUAAAUCCUGGAUUGAGAAGUGUUUCUCUAUGAAGGACUUAGGAGAAGCUACCUAUAUUCUAGGGAUAAGGAUUUUUAGAAACCGGAGUAAAAUACUAAUUGGACUUAGUCAAAGUACCAACUUGGACAAGGUGUUGAAGAGAUUCAGCAUGCAGAACUCCAAGAAAGGNACGCCAGAUUGAGUAAGACACAAAGCCCUAGCACUGAGGCUGAGAUAGCAGAAAUGAGUCGAGUGCCUUAUGCUUCGGCAGUACGCUCGAUCAUGUAUGCUAUGACUUGUACUCGACCUUAUGUAGCCUUUGCCUUGAGCAUGGUUAGCAGGUAUCAGGGGAACCCUGGAAAGGCUCACUGGACUGUGGUAAAGAAUAUCCUCAAGUACCUACGGAGGACUAAGGCCUGGGUCCUAACCCUCGGUGGGAGUGAUGACUUGAGAGUUGUAGGGUGUUGUGAUGCUCAUUUCUAGACUGAUAGGGAUAAUUUCCGCUCUCAUUCGGGCUGGGUCUUCACACUAAACGGAGGAGCAAUCACUUGGAAGAGUUCCAAGUACGAGACAGUGGCUGAUUCCACUUGUGAAUCAGAGUAUAUAGCAGCAAGCGAGGCAGAAAAGGAGGCUAUAUGGAUUAAGAACUUCAUAGGAGACCUUGGAGUAGUACCCGCUAUAAAGGAGCCCAUGGAAAUUUUCUGUGAUAGUGAAAAUGUUGUUGCCUUAGCCAAAGAACCAAGGGAUCACGGGAGAUCCAGACAUAUCGACAGAAAAUAUCAUUUUAUCAGACAUCGCAUAGAAGAAGGAAUCCUCGUGGCAAAGAGGGUAUCAUCGGAUGAGAACCCAGCAGAUCCCCUCACGAAGGGACUGAGUAGGGUUAAGCAUCUCCAGCAUGCUCGGAGCAUAGGGCUGAAGGAUGAUAUAAGUUUUAGUAGUUAGAUAAAUUAUGAAAUUUGUAAAGUGUAAUUGACAUUUGAUGAUGAAUAAAAGUUGUGUUUAUUUAAGAGUAAAGUGUUACUAUCUUUUGUCAAUCGUUUACUAUAAUUUCUUUUGCAUGUUUUGACUUCUAGAAUAGUAUGUUUUGGUUUCACAUAUUAUUCAAACUUUUCACAGUCAGUCAUAUGUUGGAAGUAGAUAUGAAGUAAGACUGUCAUGAAGUUGGUUGUAGGUGUCAGUAUAUAAGACAACACUUCAUGAGUACUCAUAAGUUCUGAGUAUGGAAUCAACCCACGCUCACUGGAAUCACUUCAUGGAAUUUUAUCUCGAGUGAUCGUGAGACGGUAAUAUCAUAUAAGUCUUCAAACCUAGAGAUAUGAUUUGUUACUUACGAGUUGGUUAUGCAUUGAUUGUACGAAAACGCAUUGGUAACUCGAUGUUAUAAAACGUGCUUUUGGGUAUAAUUCAAUGAGUGGUAGAACAAACAUAUGAGUCGAAGUUUAUCAGUUCCUUCUUGGAUUAGAAGCUGAUAUCUAGGUCACACGAUGAUUUUGUUUUGACCUAUGUAGCAGGCCCAGUCAGAACUAAGUCGAUGUGUUUAAUUAAGUUCUUUGUCAAACAAAUCGGGAAUCGGGAAACAAACUGCUGGACAAUAAGUAAGACAUUUUUCCAUGUAAUUAUGUAGCUGAUAUCUAGAGCAGAGGAUUAUGAUCACUUAUCUUAAAUGGUGUAUCAACAUCUUCUCAGUUCCGAGAGACCUUGAAAGAGCUACGAUUGCUGAUCGGUUCCUAAAGUAUUACAGUUAUAGUUAUUAGACUUAUCCAAGUGGGAGACUGUUGGAUAAGGUGUCUAAGUCCAUAACUAUUUCUGGUAAGUACUUGACCCGACCCGGCAUGGUCCAUUUAGGUUGCAUGGCACCAUGCAACUGGAUAAACUAAAUGAGAGAAAUAACAGUUAUGAUUUAUUAAUAUAUUAUAAGUUCUAAUAUAUUAUUAAUAGUAUUUAAUUAGUUUUGAUAAAGAAUUAAUUUAGAAUUAAUUAAGUGAUCAAAAGAUAACUAAUUAGAUAUAUGGGUAGAUUAAGUAAAUCAUUCAUAUCUUAUAUAGUGGACUAAGAUGCUCCAUGGAUUAUCAAGUUGGGUUCCACCUAUAAGAUGCUCCAUGGAGUUAACCCAUGGAUCAAGAAAUGAAGUCAUGGAAAAUUAGGGUUUACCUAAUGCAACACACUAUAUAAGCAAUGUAACUCUCCCCAAAAUUGGCUACACUAAGAAACAAGAGGCAUCACACUUGAGGUGCUAGGCUCACAAGGUUUCAAGGAACACUUUCAAUAACAAGGUAUGUAGUUCUAUCUUUUAUACAAAGAAAAUUGCACCCCAUGUAUGCUAGAUAGAUUCANUGGAAAAAUAAUUAUUUGCAUGUAUCUUAGACAAACAUAGAUCCAAGGUUUAUUAGGGUUGCAUGUACACUUAGGAAGUGUUAGAAUGCUCAAAACCCAUCAGUGGUAUCAGAGCCUAGGCUUGUUUGUUUGAUACUUGAUGCAAAAUAUUGGAAAAAAGUCGAAAUCUUGAUGUCUGCCUGAUGAACUUGCCGAGUCCAUGGGAAGACUCGUCGAGUUCAUGUGUAUCUUCAUCCUACUUGCCGAGUAGGUUCGUGCACUCGACGAGUAGGAGCCUAAGAAUGCAACUUUUUGACUUUUGUUGCUGGAAAUGGACUAGAAACAUUACCCUAAACUGUUUUGGUACUUGAAAACUUGUUUUAGAUGGUGUAAUGUUCAUGCUAAUCCCUUUACAAUGACAAUUAUCAAAAAAUACAAUGUUUUAAGUGUAAUUUUUUGAUUCAUGAAAGUGUUCAUAUUCAUGUUCUUAAUCUUAUGAUGUUUAGAUGAUCAUAGGAAUUUGUUGUAACCUAUGUGGUAGAUUAAUUCAUGAUCAUUUUUUGUUUUAAUGGAGUCCAUAACUUGUCCUCAAGUUAUGGAAAACCAAAAAUUACUUUGUUUUCAAAACCAUUAAAAGAACACAUGGGUUAUAAAAAUGAAGAGUCUUCAUUUUUAAUAUUCUAAUUAACUCAUAAGUUACAAGAAAUGAAAUGUUUUGAAAGUUUACAAAACUUUCCCUCAAGUUUUGGAACAAGUAAAGUCUUGAUUAAAACUUUAGUUCCAACCCUUAGAAUUUUAAAAGUUAAAAUUCAACCCGUAUACUUAUAAUAUUAUAAGUUAAUAAUAAUAUAUAUAUGUAUAAGAUCAAAGUCGUCUUACCGCUAGUACGCCUCAUUCACGAAGCCAGUCUAUAAGGUGGGUAUAAGGUUGUUGCCUAUAAAAUGGCAACUUAAUGGGUGUCCACUCUCACCCACCGCUUGCUUGACUGGUGGAGGGUCGUUAGCCAAACGGGUAAGACAAGGACUUAUAAAUUCUCAUUAAAAGUAUAAUGAUUAUUAUAAAGUAACUAAAUGUUUUAUUAAAUUCCCAAUCUUAGUUACUUUAGGAAAAAUGUGAAUAAGGUGCUAAUCCAUGAAAUUACACUUUACACUUUGUCUAAGUCGUUAGUGGAGCGUGUGUGGUUAACCGGCACACUAACUUGAACUUAACAAGGUAGGUAAAGGGUUACUUAAUGUUUAUCAUAAAAUCGAUGGAGCAUGUGUGGUUAACCGACACAAUAAUUGAGGGGUAAUACAUUAAGGGUACCAAGUAAUUUGCAUGGUUACUUCACACCUCGUUUUGUGAUCCUCGGCAUCCCAGUCACAAAACUUGGAGGGCACACACGAGAGUGAAACAUGCCUUUGAAUAGUUCAUUGAAUCUCAAAAGAAUCUAGGAGUUUCUAAGAACCAAAUUAAAUAUUUUUAAUAUUUCGGCUUUGGUGGAAAUUAGUGAAUCGUCAUUCACCUACCUUUCAAAUAUGUUAUUACUUAGAUUACGGCAUACCUCUUCUAAGUAUAAUAUAUUGUGAUUGGGUCCUAGCCUUAAUACUAC
rnacentral:lncRNA from 1 species